ACGCGUAGAACCUUACCAGGUCUUGACAUCUCCUGACAACCCUAGAGAUAGGGCGUUCCCCUUCGGGGGACAGGAUGACAGGUGGUGCAUGGUUGUCGUCAGCUCGUGUCGUGAGAUGUUGGGUUAAGUCCCGCAACGAGCGCAACCCUUGAUCUUAGUUGCCAGCAUUCAGUUGGGCACUCUAAGGUGACUGCCGGUGACAAACCGGAGGAAGGUGGGGAUGACGUCAAAUCAUCAUGCCCCUUAUGACCUGGGCUACACACGUGCUACAAUGGAUGGUACAAAGGGCUGCAAGACCGCGAGGUUAAGCGAAUCCCAUAAAACCAUUCUCAGUUCGGAUUGUAGGCUGCAACUCGCCUACAUGAAGCUGGAAUCGCUAGUAAUCGCGGAUCAGCAUGCCGCGGUGAAUACGUUCCCGGGCCUUGCACUCACCGCCCGU
rnacentral:rRNA from 1 species